AACUUGCUGCAGAUGAGGGCUCUCACCUGGCAAAUUAAUUUCCAGUUUUAAAUGGAUCCACCCUGCCUACUGCCUGAGUCUGGCUGUUGUGUGGGUCCCAGCACUACCUGCAGGAAUCACAAAGCCCAGCCCUGAAGUGCUAUUUUUAUUGUGGUAUUAUCAAGCUGCCAACCAAGAAUGAAGACCCAAUAUAAUGGGAACAACACAAUGGGAGAAUAAGACUCUCUUUUCCCUAAGGUAGCAACAGAGACAUCUGACAGACAGCAAAAGUGAGAAUGAUUCAGGAAGUUGGAAUACAAACAAUUCUCAAAUUCCAUCACAUAGUUGACUCAAGAUAGUUAAUAAAGCACCAGGGAAGACUUCUGGGAUUAUGAUCCUCGCAUGGGAGGAGAUAAUAAGAAAACAGUGACAUCUGUGCAGUUCCAUUAGGCAAGUUCUUGGAAUUUCAUUAAUGGAGCUUUAAUGAGCGCAAGACAUCUUGUCAAGGCUGAUCUGUGUCUCUGGAACCUGGAUAUCAGCAGUUUAUGAUGGCCCUAAUCUUCAUCCUCCGAAGUCAAUGGCAUUGUAAUCAUCACUUAUUUCCUGCACUUCUCAUGUAAAAAUGGAUACAUCUUGGAUUUUAUGAGCUGCAGUAAAUGCAAUUGAAGCUGUAACAUUCAUUUGGAAGCAUGUGUACAUGCGUUUAGGAGGCAGAAUUUGUUUUCAUCUUGCUCUGUCAUAGAAUGACUCGAAGGCUCCCAUCCUUCCUCUUCUCUUCAAUCCAUUAGGGCACCACCUUACUCCCAAGAUCCUGGACAAAUGGAAACCAGUGAGGCUUGGCUAACCUGGGGAUAGAAAACAGAAGAUGCAAGGGGAGUACACAUGCCUUCAAAACUGUGAACCAAGCCUUAUUUCAACUCUCUGAGCAUCGGCAGAAAGGUGGAGAGAAGUAAAAGCACAGCCUAUGGUUUCAAGCUGUAUUUAUCCACUGGAAAUGGAGAAGACACUAGAUGGGAUGUAUUUGAGAUAUUUAAUAGAUGCUAAUAGAAGAUACUGCGUGGUACCUGACAUAAGUUCUGGGUUUCUCUAUGUAAAUUGUGUUGGAGACUGGACUGUGUACCACAGUACUUAUUUCUUUUUUCUGAUAUACACAGUUAGCUACCUAAACCGCUGUCAAGUGGGUGCAGGAUUGAAAAUGCUCCUAUUUAUACAAAUAACCAAAAGCUUUGUGGCCAGGGAGAGAGAAAAUCAGCUUACGCUAAUUAUCAGAAGCCAGCAAGGUAAGGCUUGCAGAAGGUAAAUCUGUAUGUCUGCUGCUGUAGAAAUUAGUGCUUGUGGGGAACCUUUUAAAACCAAUUUUCUCUGCUUUCUCUUGCAUGCAGUAUAAUGGGAACUCUGUUUUCAACAAGCAGAAGAAUUUGUAGAAAAAGAUAAUAAAUUUAGUCAUUUUCUAUUUCAUGGCAUUAUUAUACAUGUUUUAUGAUGACUGUACAAUGUUUGCCUACCUAGCUCUUCCUCUGUCUUAGAGUGAUUAAUCUUUUUUAUUCCUGGUUGUAAAUUGGUUUGUUUCUUUGGGCUCUUGUUUUGUCAAAGGGAUGUUUUGACACACUGCUGAGCUAAGUGAGAUUAUCCCAAUUACAUUUGACUGAUAAUAUUUGUUGUCUGUUGCCUUCCAUGUGAGUAACUGCAUGGAAUAAAAUGCUGCCUUUCA